AUUGAACGCUGGCGGCAUGCCUUACACAUGCAAGUCGAACGGCAGCACGGGUGCUUGCACCUGGUGGCGAGUGGCGAACGGGUGAGUAAUACAUCGGAACAUGUCCUGUCGUGGGGGAUAGCCCGGCGAAAGCCGGAUUAAUACCGCAUACGAUCUACGGAUGAGAGCGGGGGACCUUCGGGCCUCGCGCUAUCGGGUUGGCCGAUGGCUGAUUAGCUAGUUGGUGGGGUAAAGGCCUACCAAGGCGACGAUCAGUAGCUGGUCUGAGAGGACGACCAGCCACACUGGAACUGAGACACGGCCCAGACUCCUACGGGAGGCAGCAGUGGGGAAUUUUGGACAAUGGGCGAAAGCCUGACCCAGCAAUGCCGCGUGUGUGAAGAAGGCCUUCGGGUUGUAAAGCACUUUUGUCCGGAAAGAAAUCCUUGGCCCUAAUACGGUCGGGGGAUGACGGUACCGGAAGAAUAAGCACCGGCUAACUACGUG
rnacentral:rRNA from 1 species